rnacentral:rRNA from 1 species
GUUCGGGCUCUUCUUGCGCAGCUUAGGUGGAAGGCGUUGAAAGAGAGCUUCCGGGUUCUCUGGAGCCACCAGUGAGAUACCACUCUGGAAGAGCUAGAAUUCUAAUCUCGACCCCUUAGCGGGGCGUGUGACAGUUUCAGGUGGGCAGUUUGACUGGGGCGGUCGCCUCCUAAAGGGUAACGGAGGCGUGCAAAGGUUCCCUCCGGCUGGACGGAAAUCAGCUGUAGAGUGUAAAGGCAGAAGGGAGCUUGACUGCGAGACCUACAAGUCGAGCAGGGACGAAAGUCGGCCUUAGUGAUCCGACGGUGCCGUGUGGAAGGGCCGUCGCUCAACGGAUAAAAGUUACUCUAGGGAUAAC